rnacentral:rRNA from 1 species
AUGGUGGCGAAGAAGCCGGCCGCGGCUGCGGCAGCCGGCCCGGAGGCGGAGGAGCGGAGGCGCCUGCGGUCGCUGGCCUUCUCCAAGGGCCUGCUGCAGCGCGGCGAGCCGGCGGCGCCGCGGGCGGCGCUGCCGCCGUCCGGCGCCGUGGCGCGGCUGCAGGGGCGCGACAUCGUGCGGCCGCGGGGCCAGCGCAGAGGCCGCUUCCUAUUCUCCUUCCCCGGCCUCCUCGCGCCCGCCGCCGCCGGCGGCCGCGUCGGGGAGCUCGCCGACCUCGGCACCAAGAACCCCGUCCUCUACCUCGAGUUCCCGCAGGGGAGGAUGAAGCUGCUGGGCACGCACGUGUACCCCAAGAACAAGUACCUCACGCUGCAGAUGACCAGAUCCGCCAAGGGCGUCGCCUGCGAGGACGUCUUCGAGAGCAUGAUUGUGUUUUCCGAAGCCUGGUGGGUCGGGACCAAGGAGGAGAACCCCGACGAGCUCAAACUCGAGUUUCCGAAAGAGAUGCAGAAUGUAUGUGCUGCGGAAGAUGUUGAUUUUAAAGGCGGGGCAGGUGCUGCCAGUGGCGAGCUAGUUACAGUAAAUAAACCCAGAAAGCAGGCCGCAGAGCCCCACACACCAGAGUAUGAAUCCGAUGCCGAUUCAGAGGAUUCAGAUGUUAAGGAUGAGAUUGGCACGCAGACUACGAGUGAUACACCUGUUAGGAAAUCUGCCAGAACUGCUGGGAAGACCUUCAAGUUCGCAGAGCUCGCUGGAGGAGAUUCGGCUGAAAGUGACACUGAGAUUGAGUUUGCUGAGGACUUGGAUGAGAAGAUGAAGACUGAAGAAAUUAAGGAAGAAAUCCCAGGUGAAGACAUUAAACCUGAAGAUUCUCCAGCAGAGUCUCUUUCUAUCAAGAAGCAACCACUUGUUCAGGCUAAUUUGUCUACCAUGUUUAAAAAAGCAGAAGAAAAAAAGAGACCUACAACUACAAGAAGUCCUAAAGGAUCUCCAGCUACAAAAGGUCCUGCUGCUAAGAAGCCGCGAGCAACUCCAACGAAAAAACAGUCACCAGCGAAGAAGGAAGCAAGUGGAUCUCAGAAAAAGCAAAAAGCAAAGGUAGAAGAAGCGGCAUUACAGGACGACGACAUGGGCGAGGAGGAGGACGAUGAUAGCGAUGACGACUGGGCCGGGUAA